AUACAGUAUACUAUCAUAAAUUAUUUUAAGAUUGGGCCCAGAUCGGGCCCGGCCCAUUUACAGUAUUACGUCCCCAGAGGGAGGAGAAACGGCUGGGACGCAGCACCAGCCAUUUAUCUGCCCGCGAGGGAGCCACGUACCGGAAAAUAGAACAAAUAAAAACCAUCCCAAAAUAUGCUACUGCUUCGUAUCCAUCGUCACCUCCUCUUCCUCCUUUCCGUCGAGAUUCCUGUCCUUCUCUAAGCUCCCCUUCCCGGGGUCCCAGCUCCAAUCGGGAGUAAUGGCGGCGGCUGUGGCGGAGGAGCCACCGAAGCUCCUUUUCCGCCGGCUGUUCACCUGUACCUACCUGCUCGACGACGUCGCGAUCCCAAUAAACCCUCUCUGGAUAUGGUGCCAGGUGUAAGGUCCAUAAUUUCCAAAACUAGCAAUUCAAAAGCAGAUCUUUUGAUAGAAGCUGGGGAUAAAAGAUGUUUUGGCAAUCUGUUCCUGAAGGUUCGAGCUAACUCUGGUCAUACUUUGGGCUGUGUUACAUUUAUAACAGGAGAUGGGAGUUCAUUAUCCAAAUAAUAUUAAAAAAAAAUUAUUUAUCAAAUAAAUAUAUUUUUUAACUUAUUUACCAAACUAAUGCAAAUCUAUAAAACGUCAUUUCAAAUGGCGUUUUAUAGUGUCUACGUCACCACCUCCCCAUCCCACGUGGAUCUUCAAAAAAAAAAUAAAAAAA